rnacentral:rRNA from 1 species
CCUACGGGUUGCAGCAGUGGGGAAUUUUCCGCAAUGGGCGAAAGCCUGACGGAGCAAUGCCGCGUGUGUGAAGAAGGUCUUCGGAUUGUAAAGCACUUUCGACAGGGACGAUGAUGACGGUACCCGUAGAAGAAGCCCCGGCUAACUUCGUGCCAGCAGCCGCGGUAAUACGAAGGGGGCUAGCGUUGCUCGGAAUGACUGGGCAUAAAGGGCGCGUAGGCGGUUUAUGCAGUCAGAUGUGAAAUCCCCGGGCUUACCCUGGGAACUGCAUUUGAGACGCAUAGACUAGAGGUCGAGAGAGGGUUGUGGAAUUCCCAGUGUAGAGGUGAAAUUCGUAGAUAUUGGGAAGAACACCGGUGGCGAAGGCGGCAACCUGACUCGAUACUGACGCUGAGGCGCGAAAGCGUGGGGAGCAAACAGGAUUAGAUACCCCCGUAGUC